UACGGCCAUGUGAUGUUGAAAGACCUGUUCUCGUAUGAUCACCAAAGUUAAGCAACAUUGAGCCUGGUCAGUACCUAGAUAGGUGACGGCUUGGAAAUAUCCGGGGCUGUAAG